AUAUAUAUACAUAUUAUAUAGGAGGCUCAGGGGUGACCUUAUGGAGGCUGUAGUGAGGUGGGGGUUGGUCUAUUCUCCCAUGUGCCUAACGACAGGACGAGGGGGAAUGGGCUAAAGUUGUGCCAGGGGAGGUUUAGGUUGGAUGUUAGGAAGAACUAAUUAGGAAGAACUCCCAAAAGGGUUGUUAGGCACUGGAACAGGCUGCCCAGGGAAGUGGUUGAGUCACCAUCCCUGGAGGUCUUUAAAAGGUGUUUAGAUGUAGAGCUUAGGGAUAUGGUUUAGUGGUGGACGUGUUAGUGUUAGGUCAGAAGUUGGACUACAUAAACUUGGAGGUCUCUUCCAACCCAGAUGAUUCUGUGAUUCUGUGAUUACAAAUAACUGUGUUUUUAAUGAAAGUUUUUGUGCAUCUUAAGCACCAUUUUUUUGCUAUUUACAGAAGACUGUGACCAUUUUUCUGCAGUUUAACUGCAGGUAACUCUGCAGUUGCAGCAUUUUUCACUGAGGUGACGUAUGGAAAAUGGAAGCUGAUCCUCACUGACUUUCAGCCUACAUCUCCUUUGCUUCUGCUGGCUCAAGGCGACCAGUCUCCCUAUUUUCUUCAAGGUUUCCUUGUUUUCUUCAGCUUAACACUACAGAAUGACUGCACACAUUUAACAUACCCAGAAUGGAAACAGAGCAAAAAGGCGGCAGUAGACUUGGUAUGAGUGUGUAAGUAUCUAAGUCAUCUUGGUUGUUUGCUAGAUGAAAGUGACUCAAAGCCUUCCCAAACACAUAAAACACCCUAUUUAAUGUAACACAUUUGCUGAAGAAAAAUGACUAAAGAUGGCA
rnacentral:lncRNA from 1 species